AUCACCGCGUUUGAGAUCCACUCUGGAUAUUGCACCUCCACAAUAUGCCCGACUCUCAGUAACUCAUAGACCUGCUCUCUGAUUGCAGCAUCCUUUUCAGCCCCAAAAUUCCUUGUCCGCUGUUUCACCGGCUUCACCUUAGGAUCCACGUUGAGACAAUGCUCCGCCAGCCCUCUAUCAAUUCCCUUUAAAUCUGCGGUGCUGAAUGCGAACACAUCCGCAUUUCGCCGAAGACAACUAACGAGCUCCUCUCUGACCUGAUCACUCAUGGCAGACCCGAUUUUAGUCUGGAAACCCUCUUUCCCCGGGAAUAAUUCAAUCAUAUUGCAAACAUCGCUAGUGGACACCAGCGCGGUUUUUUCUGUGGAGUCUCUAUCUUUUAAUAAAUCUGCCAGCUCUUGGCGCUCCUCUGCUGAGGCAUGCACCUCGCCCACCUUUCCCUUUUUCCGUGUAUCUGAUCCCUC
rnacentral:lncRNA from 1 species